AUGUGCUCCUGGGUUGGUGGCCUGGGCUCUGGCCUAGGCCAUUCCCAGCGGGGAGGGGAUGGCAGUGAGACUUCCUUCACCGGCUACAACUCGGAUCUCACGAUGGACUUUGCUGAUGUCAUAUCAUCUCAGACACAAAUCAAUAGACUCCUCAAUGAGAUCGAAACACUGGAGGCUGAGCUUACACUUUGGAAACGUUCGUCCAAGGGACCAAAUAGCUCAGACUCCAAUGCCAUCUGGAAACUGAAGAGCACCAUCAGGGACCUAGAAGAGCGGCGGAUGAGGAAGAUUUUGGAACAUCAACUCGGAGUUGCGACACUGCUCAGUGUCCAUCAAGAAAAACUGGCCGACGUCAGGGACAGGCACUGCAAACAACUCCUCGAGUAUGAAAAACGGAUAGAAGACCUGCAAGAUCAACCCUCUCCUGGACAUGGGAAAGAUGACUUACUUCAAGAAAGGGAAACUGAGCUUAGAAGGUUGAAGCAACAACUUGCAGAAAUGGAGCGGCUGAAUGACAAUUUAAACAACGUUGUUUCUGAUCUCAGAGCAGAAAACCAAAAGUUGGUUUUGGCGCUCCAGGAUGUAAGACAUCAGCUGGAAGAAUCUAUUCUCCGGAACAACGAGGAUUCUCUGGAAAACAACACUGCUGUGAGGGCUUUAAAAAGAGAAAAAGGACGGUUAAUAGCAAAAUUGUCUCGGGCGGAAAAGAAGCUGUUGGAGAAAACGAACAAGUAUGAGCAAACUAUCAAAGAAUGGUCCCCUUUAGAGCAUGCGCAUUUCAUUCAACACAGUCAAGAGAAAGACCUGGAAAUAGUACACCUCAAAAAGAGGAUCGAGCAGAUGGACGCCGACCAUAAAGGAACGAAGGAAAUGUUGUCCUCUGCUUUGGAGGAGCAGAAGCGAUUGACACAACUCAUUAAAGAGAAAGAGACGUAUAUUGAAGAACUUACAGGAAGUGCAGAGCUUCAGGAGGAAUUCGGUCAGUCUACCCAAACCUUCAGAGGCAAUGACAUUUUCCAGCCAUCCGUGGAGGACAAAGACAGGUGUCUCCCAUCCGUGACAGACGAAAAUCAUCAUCUGGGAGAAGAACUGGAGAGCCCAAGACAACAGAGUCGCUCUGUACCUGCGGUCGACCCUAAAAUCCUAGACGAGAUCAUAGAACUAGAGUGUGAGGUGUUUCAACUCCAGGAGUUAAAAGACGAUCUCGAGGAGGAAAUCAGGGAGCAACAGAAGAUCAUUCACAACCAACAGCAGGGGAAGAUAGUACUACUUCAUUCUUUACAAGAGCAGAAGCGGAAAGUGGACCAUCUCCAAUACCAGCAGGAGCAGAUGACUAUUGAACACGCUCAGCUCCUUUCAGCAAAAGAUGAGGAGAUUCAGAAUUUGCAGGACACGAUAGAACAGAUGAAAGCCCGGCUGCCUGACAAAAGCCAGCACAUUCCAACACAAGACUGUGAUGAUGUGGAAGUCACAACAAGUCAGCCUCUUCCUAGAGAAAACGGAAGUGAAAAGCUUGAUUCAUCUGAAGCCGAAACUCAAAGAUUCGUCCUAGGAAUCAAAGAACAUGAACUGGAGAUGAAGUUUCUAACUGAACAGAACAUCCGACUGACAGAACAGAUCAGCUCUCCAAAGAGGAGAUUGGUAAACUAACUCAGAUCAUCCAGCAGAAAGAUUUGGAGAUUCAGGGUCUUUCCAGCAGGGUCUCUGCGGCUUCUCACAGCCAGAACAGGGACGUGGAGCGACUUCAGCGGCAAUUGCAAGAGUAUGCUUGGAAAAGCGAACAGGUCUUGGCUGCCUUAAAUGAGAAAACGAGGGAGAACAGCAAUCUGAAGACAGAAUAUGACAAAAUGGCAGAUAGAAUUGCUGCCACAGAAGCAGACCUCCAGAGGAUGCAAGAGGAAAAUCAAAAACUGUCCACUAGAAUUGAGAGUAGUGGUCAGGAGAUGUUUAGAGAAAUGAUUCAGAAUUUAUCACACGUUGUUCGAGAAAAAGACCUCGAAGUGGAUGCGUUAAGUCAGAAAUGUCAGACUUUAUUGACACUCCUGCAACCAUCCAGCACUGGUAAUAAGGUUCAAGGAGUUAAUAUGGAUCAGUUGAAGCAGCUCCUACAGGAACGGGACACAUUAAAACAGCGAGUGAAGAUCAUGGAAGAGUGGAAACAGCAGGUGAUGACCACAGUCCAAAAUAUGAAGCGUGAAUCAUCCCAGCUUCAGAGAGAUCUGGCACAACUCCAGGCGCCGGCUUUUACCAGCAGCAAGAAGGAUUCUGAACUACAGACAACCUCUAGUGACCUGAUGCAAAUGUACAAAGGCAAUGAAGUACAAUUACAACAUUUAGAGAAGGAACUGGCACAAAUUCAGCUCAGCAUCAGGGAGCUUUGCAAUGCCAAGGAUCUCUUUCUAGGGAAACUGGAUGUGAUUUUCCUCCAGCCCUCCACUGACUCCUUGGAGUCAGCGGACUCUCUAGAGGCCAUGAAAUCUGACAGAGCGAGUGAGGCUUCUCAGUUGCGCCAAGAGGAGGUAGAAGAGCUAAGAAAAUCAAUGCAAGAAAAAGAUACAAUGAUUCGAACCCUCUGGGAAGAUAAGAAGAGAUGGAUUGAUUCAGUGGCGGCCACGAGGGAAGUAGAAGGCCAACAUCAGGAACACAGGGAAUUCCGACAUCGAGCCGCUGAAGGAGAAACAGCCUGUUCUACAAAACUUCCUUCAGGAUCAGGAGCUCUGAAUCCAAGCGAAAAGUGAGGAAUUGCUUUCUUUACAGGAGAACUUCAGUAGCCAAGUGAGUGAAAAUGAACUUUUGAGGCAGACGGUCACCAAUCUGAAGGAGAGAAUAGCAGAGUUUGAAAUGGAUGUUUGUCAACUGAGGGAGGAAAAUGAAAAAGUCAUGGAAACCUCUAGAGGAAAGGAAGUGGGAAAUCAGGCAUCGCAAGAGACAGAUAGGCUGCUUUCAGUGAUGCGGAGAGAGGAGGAAUCCCAGGGUGCUGCGAUGAAAGGGAAGGCACUUGCUUUGGAGGAACUAUUGCAGGAGAGAGAAGAGCAGGAGACCGAGGAAGUGAACCGGCUUGUCAGUGCAGUAACAUCAAUGCAGGAAAAGACAGUUCUGUGCUAACAGGAGAGAGAUGAAGCCCUGUUGGCCCUGAAACAGAAACAAAUGGAAACCUGUGCCCUCCAGAAGGAGGUUCACCAUUUACGUGAGAGUGAAUUACGCCUAACCCAGGAGCUGGAGAGACAGCAACACCUGGCUCUAGAAGCUGAAGACGCUCAUCGCCGGGAAGCUCUGGCCUCAGAAGACAAAGUGGCUCAACUCAGGAAAGAAGUGACGGUCUUGCAGGGAAAAUUCGUUGUGUCAUCCACUGCCAUGGAAAAUGCAAGCCGUGGAGCCAGUCUGCAGGUAGAGUCGCUGCAGGAGCAACUGCACGUGGUGACCCAGCAGAAAGAGGACACCAUGCUCCAGCUUGCUGCCUCCCAGGAAGAAGGAAAGCAGUGUGGUCACAUCCUAGCUGACCUCAAGUUGGAACUCGCCAAAUGGAUGGAAAAGCUGAAGGAAGACCAACUCCAAGAAUUCAAGAAACAGAAUGAGGUCCAGCAGGAAAUCCUGGAGGACACACAGAAGAAACUGAUGAACUUAGUAAGUCCAAAGGAAUGGUGGACAAAACGCUCCUAAGGAGACUCUUCCUGGGAUCUUUCCAAGCACCUGAUGCCGAACGGCAGGAAGCGUUAAGGUUGAUGGGAAGCAUGCUGGGGAUCAGAGAAGACCAGAUGUGGCAGCUCUUCAGUGAAGGCCCAGGUGGUGUUACCAGCUGGAUGAUUCGGGGGCCUGGACCCAAAAGCGCCCCCAACACAUGUGUGAAGCCAGAUCACGGACCUAUGGCCAAGAAUUCUUUUUCAGGACUUUUCGUCCAGUUUCUAGAAGCGGGAUCUCAUUCAGCUUUGCCACCACCAAAACCCUCUGUUCAUGACGGGAAGCCCCCAGAUUCCGGAGGAAGGGGAAAACUGGCUAUGAAAAAAGGCCCACCACGUCUGAACACUACCCUAGGAUCCACACCCUGGAAAAAAGAUGUGAAGCCCCGCACCACAGCUGUAUCUCUUAUUACCCCAUCUGGACCAGAAACAGAUCGAUCGGAGCACCUUCUGCUAAAUGCCAUCACUGAUGCUUUCCCCACAUACAUGCCCCAAAUACUGUCACCUGCCAAGAAGGUUGGAAUGGUGGCCAAAUGCAUCUCCAAGAAAUAG